rnacentral:misc_RNA from 1 species
GGUGUUUCUGGAAUUUCCACUAUUGUUUUGCUUUUCCUUCUUUUUUUUUUUGUGAGGUAAUGAAUAAGGCUAGGAUUCUUCAUCUGUUGCUACUAUUCAUUUACUUUUAGGUUGUUCAAUGAUUUUUGAUGAAUUAGCUCCUUGAAAAUAUUUCUCCUUUCUCCUGAAUUGAAUUUUAGUUGAAAAUGGUUAACAAAUUUGACCUACAUUGUUUGUGUUUAUUAUUAUUGUAUUAAUUUUUAUUUUACGUACUCUUUUGCCUACAAUGAAAUUGGUAUUUUGAUCAUCUG